rnacentral:misc_RNA from 1 species
UUCGUAUCGUGCGGUGCAUUNUGGUGUCGUAUAUGGCUUUCGAUUGCUUGCUUGGCUUUCUAGCGUUGCAGGUGGUUGAUUGACCUUUCGGCAUCGGGGAUGUCUUCCGUAAAGGUGCAUGAGUGGUGUUUGGUUUGAUACGGGUGGUUGACUCCCUGCUUGUGCAGGCAUGGCCAUGCGUGCUUUCCUUUUCAGCUGUGCGGCAAGGCUUGUAUCGUCUURAUCGUAUAAGUGGGUUUCCUGUGUUGCAUACCUGAUCAACGGCAUCGUUYUGAUCAAAAUCGUACCUUUUUCGUCUAGUGUUGCAUCCGCACCAUUGGAUGAACCGUGUAGCAUUCUCUUUGAUCCAUACAGUURAUGCUCGUUCGUURAUUGUUUGGCCCAUUGAGCGUGUCUUGGUCCCUUGAAUAUGGAAGCCAAAAUGGGCACGGGAUCGCAAGAUCCAUUUUAGUGCCCUUAUUGAGCGUUCUCGCUUCUCUUACACGACUGUCUCUCACGUAUGGCACGUCCCAGCGUGUUUGGCUAUGUCGAAGAGGAAUGU